GUUUAGUGAUGAUAUCCCAUGCGUGUCAUCUGAUGCCCACGUCUCUCUGCUUCUGGCCUGCACUGCCUGCGUCCUGCGGGUUGGGUUUGGCUGGAGCAGAGGAUUCUGGGAGAUGAUCUGACCUGUUUGUCUGAAAAC